rnacentral:rRNA from 1 species
GGGGACAACUCGGGGAAACUCGAGCUAAUACCGCAUAAUCCCUUCGGGGGAAAGGCUUCGGCCACUACUAGAUGAGCCCGCGUCCGAUUAGCUUGUUGGUGAGGUAAUGGCUCACCAAGGCUACGAUCGGUAGCUGGUCUGAGAGGACGAUCAGCCACACUGGGACUUAGACACGGCCCAGACUCCUACGGGAGGCAGCAGUGGGGAAUAUUGCACAAUGGGCGAAAGCCUGAUGCAGCAAUACCGCGUGUGUGAAGAAGGCCUGCGGGUUGUAAAGCACUUUCAGUAGGAAAGAUAAUGACGGUACCUACAGAAGAAGCACCGGCUAACUCCGUGCCAGCAGCCGCGGUAAUACGGAGGGUGCGAGCGUUAAUCGGAAUUACUGGGCGUAAAGCGCGCGUAGGCGGCUUAUUAAGUCGGAUGUGAAAUCCCUGGGCUCAACCUAGGAACUGCAUCCGAUACUGAUGGGCUAGAGUAUGGAAGAGGGAAGCGGAAUUCCGGGUGUAGCGGUGAAAUGCGUAGAGAUCCGGAGGAACAUCAGUGGCGAAGGCGGCUUCCUGGUCCAAUACUGACGCUGAGGUGCGAAAGCGUGGGGAGCAAACA